AAUUAAGGAGCAGAUUAUAAUGUGAAGAAAAAUAGAAGUGCAAAAGAACUCAACAUCGACAGACUAGGAGCUUUAUCCCCAUUGAUUUGGUAGGAUCUUCGGUAACAGCUAGAACUCAUAAUCACUGACCGCGAAAUGUCCAAGGAACUGAUUUCAGGCUUCAGGUGACCAUGGCUAAGUAAACCUGAAUUAAUUGGACCAUUUAGUAGGUUGGCCCACAUGAAAGUCUGGAAUUUGAUGGAUAGGUUUGGUUUCUGGAUUUGAUCUUAUCAAAAAAUUUCCCCCUUUUUGUAAGAGAGUGCAGUGGGGAUUGAUUUCGUUAGCAAGUAGAUGCAUUAAAGAUACAAACAGUCUAUGGGAUGUGAUUCCAAGUUUCAGCCUUGCUUGGGUAGAUCAUUAGAUCGUAUUGUCUUUGUGAAUGGGAAGGGUUGGAAAGAAUGCUUGAGAAGGAUAGAAAAUGAACAUCCAUAGCUGUUGAAGUCUUCACAUUCCUUGAUCAAUAGGUGAGACAUGAGAUCCAUGUUGAUUGAUCCGACCAUUGAUCAAUGGUCUAGACCAUCCAUGUGAAGAUACACAAACGGUAUGUAUGGCUCAUUGACUGUAGGUUUU